GGAGAGGUACCGAAGCGGUCAUAACGGCGCAGACUCGAAAUCUGUUGGGGGUGUAUGCCCCACGUGGGUUCGAAUCCCACCCUCUCCGCCA
rnacentral:tRNA from 1 species